rnacentral:lncRNA from 12 species
CAGUCUUGAGUGGAGUGCACAGCAAGAGAAGGUGUAUAGGUUGAGCCACUUUCCAAAAAUCAUUAACUCUUCUAGUAAGAGCUUAUAGGUUAUUAGUUUCCAUGAAGCUCCAAGUAUCCAUUACAGUUUAUGCCAUACAGAACCUACAAUAAGCCUCAGAAUUAGAGUGGACCUCGCCAUGGUUUUAUUCUCCUUUUAGGAAAUAGCUCUUGAUUAACAAGUGAGCCCUGAUAGAAAUAGAACAUCUGACCAUGGGAGCCAAGCUGCCAUUGAUGGUUGAUAUGUCUUUCGCUGACCCAUCAAUUGACCAACCAACAAGAUUCCAUCUUCAAGGAAGAAUACGAAGACUGGGUCUGAGCAGAGUGGAACAAAGGAAGUUACCUCAGCAUUUUAGUGAUUACACUGUGGGUCCUGGUGCUCCAUAAUAGCUACAAUUCUUUCUAAGGCAGCUCCAAAAUAUAGCCUUCAAGGAUUAUCCACGACAUACAGCACUGUGGUCAAUAUCCACAGCCCCUGAGAAACGAGUCCCAGGAGACUAAGCAAAGACAAAUGGCCAGUGUGGUUCCUGCGCUCUAGGGCAUGCCAAACAUAACUUCAAGAAUUGUUCCAUAUAAAAUCUUUAAGCUCUUUGUGCAAAACCAUGCUUGUGAUGCCUCAAGUGAUGAACUUCCCCACUUCCAGCUUCUUCCAGCAGAUCUGUUCCAUCUAGUUCAUCAUUCAGGACCCAUUUAUGGAAUGAAAAGAAAAAAAAAAAAUCAACCAGAGGAGGCAAUGGUGAAGGCAUCACAAAGAAGUACUCCGCAUGUUUGUGUACAAGCCUUUAGAUAG